rfam:Triticum aestivum genome assembly, contig: Triticum_aestivum_CS42_TGACv1_scaffold_132861_2BL
AAAGUACUCCCUCCAUUUUAAAAUUCUUAUCUUAGAUUUGUCUAAGUAUAGAUGUAUCAAGUCAUGUUUUAGUAUUAGAUACAUCCAUAUCUAGGCAAAUCUAAGACAAGAAUUUUGGGACGGAGGGAGUACAAA